rnacentral:lncRNA from 1 species
GGGGUUCGUCUUGAAAAUAACAAAUGUUUAAAAACUGGCGUGACAAUUGUAAGUACAAAAACUAAUGGCGUGUAAACUGCAGUCUACAGAAGCUCAUAACAGUCAAACACUACUCACGAUUUAUAACUUGUAGGUUACCUUAGACUCGGGAUGCAGCUCGUGAUCCUCUUGUUCGUGUUGUUGUCCACGAGACCCACGAUGCCGAAAUAUGGACAUGAUGAAUAAUGCUGCAAUUAUAUGGUGUUAUUAUACUUUUAUAACGUUGAUACUUAACACAAACACCCAACAAUAACAACAAAAUUAAUGCCACAUAGGAGUUUAAUUUUUAUGUGAACAAAUUUUAUUUUAUAGUAAUUUCUGGCAACGAUCACGUGGAUAGAAAGUGGUAGGAAGGUGCUGUUGUAAACCGAAAUUGACCGUGACUACAAAAACAAUACUAUAGUUGGAAAACUUUUUUAAUGGUCCUGAUAACACGACUACAAUAAAAUUUAAAUUUAAUGAAAUUAAAUCAUUUUUUCUUCGAAAUUAAUCUAUUGUUGACUAUAACUAGGAGAGAUAUUAGGUAAGAUGAUGUCACUAUGACGAUCAUGACAACAAAACAAAUGAAGUUUCUUCCAUCCAACUAACAUCUUGUUUGGAAUUGGCUCAUUCUAUACACACCCUCCCUCCUUCCUGAUUACACCCCCCUUUGUGAGAGGAAAACUGUCGGUCCCACGCAGGCCUCACCUGUAAGAAUGUGAGAGGAGGGGGGUGAAAAAAGUAAAUAGGGGGGUGUAGAAAGUAGCACCCUUGGAAUUACAUUACGAAAUGAUUAUUUGAUUAAUACAUUUGUAAAACAUAAAUAAUCUAAAAAAGUGUUUGGAUGAGAAAUUGAUUAUCUGCGUUCAAAACGCAGUUUUAGAGAAGCAUGUACCUACAUGCUUAACGCAAAAUCUAUUUUGAAAACGCAUAAUCUAUUUUGAAAAUGUAACACCAAAUACCCCCUAAUACGGUGUGACAAAAAUUAUAAACAAAGCUUCAUGGGAUUAUGUGUUAUUUAAUAGAGUGCUUUGUGAUUGAUAACCGGUUAAACCGGUUUAGUCAUGGACUUAUAUUUUGUACAUUAUUUUAAAAUUAUUAGUAUAACAGAUGUCAUAAAAUAACAUAGUAACUAAAUUCGUUCCAAACAGAAUUUCAAAGUAAAGUUCACCAUUAUUUUUUUCAACACAACUCUAGGGGAUAUAAAUUUGAUUAAUUAUCUUAAAUGGGUUAAUACACAAGCUGUUUAAUAAACCGGUGAGAGUCCCUAACUUAAUUUUUUAACGAUAAAUAUUACUAUUACUUUACACCAAUAACCAUCAACUACUUAUUUGCCCAUAUUUGAAUCUAAUACCUUUCUCUUUAGAAGACACAAUCCGAUCAGUCCCUGACAUAUUAUUUGUUCAUUCUGAUUUGUGUUAUACCUACGAAUGACACUAGUCACAUAAACAUGUCGUAGUAGAUAGCUUAACACGAAUAACACGUUUAACUAAUAUGUCCGGAUCAUUGCUCGACUUUCAACACGUUUGAUUAAUCGAGCCGAUACAAUGGCCUGCCUAUAUAAUCCGGCUCGUGGCCGCCGGACUUGACUUGAU